rnacentral:rRNA from 1 species
UACGGGGGGAGCAAGCGUUGUUCGGAUUUACUGGGCGUAAAGGGCGCGUAGGCGGCCACCUCAAGUCAAUUGUGAAAUCUCCGGGCUUAACUCGGAAAGGUCAACUGAUACUGCGGGGCUAGAGUGCAGAAGGGGCAACUGGAAUUCUCGGUGUAGCGGUGAAAUGCGUAGAUAUCGAGAGGAACACCUGCGGCGAAGGCGGGUUGCUGGGCUGACACUGACGCUGAGGCGCGAAAGCUAGGGGGAGCGAACGGG